rnacentral:rRNA from 1 species
UACACUCCUGCGGGAGGCAGCAGUGGGGAAUAUUGGACAAUGGGCGCAAGCCUGAUCCAGCCAUGCCGCGUGAGUGAUGAAGGCCCUAGGGUUGUAAAGCUCUUUCACCGGUGAAGAUAAUGACGGUAACCGGAGAAGAAGCCCCGGCUAACUUCGUGCCAGCAGCCGCGGUAAUACGAAGGGGGCUAGCGUUGUUCGGAUUUACUGGGCGUAAAGCGCACGUAGGCGGACUAUUAAGUCAGGGGUGAAAUCCCGGGGCUCAACCCCGGAACUGCCUUUGAUACUGGUAGUCUUGAGUUCGAGAGAGGUGAGUGGAAUUCCGAGUGUAGAGGUGAAAUUCGUAGUUAUUCGGAGGAACACCAGUGGCGAAGGCGGCUCACUGGCUCGAUACUGACGCUGAGGUGCGAAAGCGUGGGGAGCAAACAGGAUUAGAUACCCGAGUAGUCC